rnacentral:rRNA from 1 species
UACGUAGGGUGCGAGCGUUGUCCGGAAUUAUUGGGCGUAAAGGGCUCGUAGGCGGUUUGUCGCGUCGGGAGUGAAAACCCAGGGCUUAACCCUGGGCUGGCUUCCGAUACGGGCAGACUAGAGGUAUGCAGGGGAGAACGGAAUUCCUGGUGUAGCGGUGAAAUGCGCAGAUAUCAGGAGGAACACCGGUGGCGAAGGCGGUUCUCUGGGCAUUACCUGGCGCUGAGGAGCGAAAGUGUGGGGAGCGAACAGG